GAUGAACGCUGGCGGCGUGCCUAAUACAUGCAAGUCGAGCGAACAGACGAGGAGCUUGCCCCUCUGACGUUAGCGGCGGACGGGUGAGUAACACGUGGAUAACCUACCUAUAAGACUGGGAUAACUUCGGGAAACCGGAGCUAAUACCGGAUAAUAUAUUGAACCGCAUGGUUCAAUAGUGAAAGACGGUUUUGCUGUCACUUAUAGAUGGAUCCGCGCCGCAUUAGCUAGUUGGUAAGGUAACGGCUUGCCAAGGCAACGAUGCGUAGCCGACCUGAGAGGGUGAUCGGCCACACUGGAACUGAGACACGGUCCAGACUCCUACGGGAGGCAGCAGUAGGGAAUCUUCCGCAAUGGGCGAAAGCCUGACGGAGCAACGCCGCGUGAAUGAUGAAGGUCUUCGGAUCGUAAAACUCUGUUAUUAGGGAAGAACAAAUGUGUAAGUAACUAUGCACGUCUUGACGGUACCUAAUCAGAAAGCCACGGCUAACUACGUG
rnacentral:rRNA from 1 species